rnacentral:rRNA from 1 species
UACGAAGGGGACUAGCGUUGUUCGGAAUUACUGGGCGUAAAGCGCACGUAGGCGAUUUGUUAGUCAGGGGUGAAAUCCCGGGGCUCAACCUCGGAACUGCCUUUGAUACUGCAAAUCUCGAGUCCGAUAGAGGUGGGGUGGAAUUCCUAGUGUAGAGGUGAAAUUCGUAGAUAUUAGGAAGAACACCGGUGGCGAAGGCGGCCCACUGGAUCGGUACUGACGCUGAGGUGCGAAAGCGUGGGGAGCAAACAGG